AUCAGAUUAAGUAUUUUUAGUUUUAAAGAACUAGCAGUAGAAAAAUGCACAAGACCGUGCAUAAUGCUGAGUAAAAGGGAAUGCUAUCAGAAAAGAAAGCACUUAUUUUAAAUGUGUCUCCAAAUAGCCUUGUUAUAUUAGCACAUCCUUUGAACUUAGGUCAUGGUUGCAUUAAGCUUCCUACCCAGUCAGGUCAUCCUGUGGGUAUAAAUAUAUGCUUUAAGUUAUAUAAACACCAUCCAAUCCUAUUUGCAUUGUCACUCUGCGACACAAAAUGCUAUAAUGACCUCCUUUUCCUAUGUCCAGUGCUAUCUAUAAAGCAGGCUUAGGUCCUUUUCUUAUUAAGGAGGUCAGCUCUCUUAAUGAGCUUUAGGCAUUCCCAGAGAGUUUUCCAAUAUUGCAAGACAUAUCUAGCCCCAGGCAGGAUGGCUGCAGCCCUGCCAACACCUGAGCAGUGCAGACAGAUCCCAUGUGACAGGUUAUGCAAUGGAGCAGGGCUUUAUAUACCCCAGGCCCUAGAGCAUGGAAAGGGCUCGAGGGAAAGGAGCACCAGGACUGUAGGGGCUGAAAUUGAACGAAGACUCAGAAAUCAUGGUUAUUCCUCUCCGGAGAAUGACACCUGGGUAUAUAAGGUUGCUGCAGGGACUCCAUGCAAAUGUGCUUCUGCCUCUUGAUCAGUGUAUCAUACGGACUAGACUCAAGCUGCAGCAAAGAUUGUUAUCAACCCAUCAGACACAGCGCUGCAGCGGGCAGCAUUGCUCCUGGGAGUGUUCGGGAUCAGCAUAUCCAGCUACAGCACACACCAGCUAACUCAAACAAAAAGAUUCCCCUUGAC